rnacentral:rRNA from 1 species
AGUGAACGCUGGCGGUAGGCCUAUCACAUGCAAGUCGAACGGCAGCACAGUAAGAGCUUGCUCUUACGGGUGGCGAGUGGCGGACGGGUGAGGAAUACAUCGGAAUCUACUUUUUCGUGGGGGAUAACGUAGGGAAACUUACGCUAAUACCGCAUACGACCUACGGGUGAAAGCAGGGGAUCUUCGGACCUUGCGCGAUUGAAUGAGCCGAUGUCGGAUUAGCUAGUUGGCGGGGUAAAGGCCCACCAAGGCGACGAUCCGUAGCUGGUCUGAGAGGAUGAACAGCCACACUGGAACUGAGACACGGGCCAGACUCCUACGGGAGGCAGCAGUGGGGAAUAUUGGACAAUGGGCGCAAGCCUGAUCCAGCCAUACCGCGUGGGUGAAGAAGGCCUUCGGGUUGUAAAGCCCUUUUGUUGGGAAAGAAAAGCAGCAGGUUAAUACCCCGCUGUUCUGACGGUACCCAAAGAAUAAGCACCGGCUAACUUCGUG